UUAACACAUGCAAGUCGAACGAUGAACCAGGAGCUUGCUCUUGGGGAUUAGUGGCGAACGGGUGAGUAACACGUGAGUAACCUGCCCUUGACUCUGGGAUAAGCGUUGGAAACGACGUCUAAUACCGGAUACGAGCUUCAGCCGCAUGGCUAGGAGCUGGAAAGAAUUUCGGUCAAGGAUGGACUCGCGGCCUAUCAGCUAGUUGGUGAGGUAAUGGCUCACCAAGGCGACGACGGGUAGCCGGCCUGAGAGGGUGACCGGCCACACUGGAACUGAGACACGGUCCAGACUCCUACGGGAGGCAGCAGUGGGGAAUAUUGCACAAUGGGCGAAAGCCUGAUGCAGCAACGCCGCGUGAGGGACGACGGCCUUCGGGUUGUAAACCUCUUUUAGCAGGGAAGAAGCGAAAGUGACGGUACCUGCAGAAAAAGCACCGGCUAACUACGUGCCAGCAGCCGCGGUAAUACGUAGGGUGCAAGCGUUGUCCGGAAUUAUUGGGCGUAAAGAGCUCGUAGGCGGUUUGUCGCGUCUGCUGUGAAAUCCCGAGGCUCAACCUCGGGUCUGCAGUGGGUACGGGCAGACUAGAGUGCGGUAGGGGAGAUUGGAAUUCCUGGUGUAGCGGUGGAAUGCGCAGAUAUCAGGAGGAACACCGAUGGCGAAGGCAGAUCUCUGGGCCGUAACUGACGCUGAGGAGCGAAAGGGUGGGGAGCAAACAGGCUUAGAUACCCUGGUAGUCCACCCCGUAAACGUUGGGC
rnacentral:rRNA from 1 species